CACGCUCCCCACUCUGUUCAG
rnacentral:misc_RNA from 1 species